GCCUCGGUGGUGUAGUGGUAGCACGCCUCUCCGGUAUAGAUGAAACGCGGGUUCGACCCCUGACCGGGGUC